rnacentral:rRNA from 1 species
GACGUAGGGCGCGAGCGUUGUCCGGAUUUAUUGGGCGUAAAGAGCUCGUAGGCGGCUUGUCGCGUCGAAUGUGAAAUCUCAGGGCUCAACUCUGACAUUGCAUUCGAUACGGGCAGGCUAGAGUCGGUAGGGGAGACUGGAAUUCCUGGUGUAGCGGUGAAAUGCGCAGAUAUCAGGAGGAACACCGGUGGCGAAGGCGGGUCUCUGGGCCGAUACUGACGCUGAGGAGCGAAAGCGUGGGGAGCGAACAGG